rnacentral:sRNA from 1 species
AGCAGCCGCGGUAAUUCCAGCUCCAAUAGCGUAUAUUAAAGUUGUUGCAGUUAAAAAGCUCGUAGUUGAAUUUCGGGGUUAGUAGGCUGGUCGUGCCACUGGUAUGUACUGGUCUUACUGACUUCUCCUUUCUGAAGAACUGUAAUGCCAUUAAUUUGGUGUUGCAGGGAAUCAGGACUGUUACUUUGAAAAAUUAGAGUGUUUAAAGCAGGCUAACGCUUGAAUACAUUAGCAUGGAAUAAUGAAAUAGGACGUUCGAUCCUAUUUUGUUGGUUUCUAGGAUUGACGUAAUGAUUAAUAGGGAUAGUUGGGGGCAUUAGUAUUCAAUUGUCAGAGGUGAAAUUCUUGGAUUUAUUGAAGACUAACUACUGCGAAAGCAUUUGCCAAGGAUGUUUUCAUUAAUCAAGAACGAAAGUUAGGGGAUCGAAGACGAUCAGAUACCGUCGUAGUCUUAACC